GAUAGGCAAAAAAGUAACUUUUAGAAAAUCAAAAACCGAAAACCAUUUUAGAAACUACAAACAAUCAACCUCGAACAAGUUUUAUAAGCAUUGGAUAACUGAAAUUUAAAGCACAAGCCUAAUAAAGAAAAUAAAAGAUAAAUUUUCGAAACAUAUGUGUCAAAUGCUGAAGAACGUGUUGAGAACGAUCUAUGCCUAUAAGAAGACCGGAAAUUAAAAACUCUUACUCACUUCCUAAAUAUAUUUGCUUGGAUCCAUUUGAAGUGCUCGCAAUAGUCGGCUCUGAAAAUAGAUCGCAUGGUUUCUUGGGUUCCCACCCACCCAAAAGGCGUGUAGCCUCGGUAGGUGAUGGUUGAUGGUACGUUUCUUUAAGCUCAAGAUAAGGUGUCAAGUUUGGCUGUUAAGUUGAUUUUGAUGUCUGAGAUCAGAGCAGAAGAGGGUCUACUAGUGGCAUUGUGAACACGAGUUGCACUCUUUCCAUAUGACAUAUAGAUUGAGACUUGAAGGAUGGGCUUGAAGAGGAGUUUGAUGGAGUCUAAAGUCUGGUCUUUAGUCCAUCGUCUGAUGAAUUCCAUACACUGGGGUGGAGGCAAAAGAUGAGCAUGAUCUGUAAAUAAAGACCAUACCUUUGCUAAAUAAGAGCAGUUGAAGAGCAGGUGAUCACAAGUUUCAGAGGCAUCACUACACAAAAAGAAAUUUGUUGGAACCGUUAAACCCCAAGAUACCGUUCCAAAAGAUUGUUGUGUAAAUAUCCCUAAAUAGACAAGGUAUCUGACGAUGGUUCUAUGUCUCCUAUUUUCCAGAAACAGUAAUCCUCAGCCUCGUAGGAUUAUAUUUAUAUGUGUGUGGCUGAAGGCAGACACUAUUACUAAUGUAUGAGAGUGAUAAUGGUAACCACCAACUAUUGUUUGAGAUAGCUUCUGAUACGUGGAUUUUAGUGGCAGACUUGUAAGGCGAGGACCUCUCUCUAUCUCAGGUGAUUUCAAUAAAGGGUCCCAACAAAGUCCAGUUGUCAUGCCAAAAGCUCGCACUGAUAUCCGAUCUAACUUCACAAAUUAAAAAUUGCCUAGUCACUGAUCUAAACUUGAAUAGUUCUGACAUAUUCAACUCCCAUCCCUAUUAACCAGCACUUCCCAAAAAUUAUCGGUUCUAAUGAGAUUUCGACGCAUACAGGAGACCCAUAGAGAGCUUGUUAAUGUAAAGAUAAGCCAGAUACGUUUGACAAAUAAGACCUUAUUCCAAUCGUUCCAGUCCUUCAUCUAUAGUUUUUCUUAGGGUUACCCUUUUUCUUAUUGUUUGAACUUGACUAACUACUUAAUUUAUGAGCUUAGAUUUUUUCUCGCACCCAAAUGGUGUUCAAUGAAAUGUCUGAAAAUACUUAGAUGAGCAAAGUAACUUAACAGAGUUGAUGUUAGGGACCUUUGUGAACUUAUCAAAAUUUGUUCUUUAAUCCAUGUUUAACUAUUGAUAGACAUAGUGAUUGGGGCCACGAGGGUGUAAAGAUUAUAGAACUGGGUUUUGAGUUCUAGAAUGGUAUUUAAUUGAUUCUUUGAUAAGUUCCCCAACCCUUUUUAUUCAUAGAUUUACAUCGUUGAUUUGCUUUCUUGCCUUUAUUUCAAUCACAUUCAAAACCAAGAUAAUUUUAGUGUCUUCUAGCUUCAUUCGAACUUGAGAAUUGAAAUGUGUACCUGGUUUACGUGGAUUCUUUCCCGAUCUUAGCUAUUGUGGAUUGUUGUGUAUUUGCAGUACUGAAUUUAAGGUUAAGAUUCUGAGCUAUCAAGAAAGAAAACAAAUUUCUAAAAUCAUCCUGGUGACAAAAAAUCUUUACAAAAAAAAAAAAAAACUUAUUCUAUUUUAUUUGAUCUUUCUCUCUUUCGCAUUCACCUCUAGAAGUGAGGAUAAAAAAAUACAUGUGGUGACAAAAAAAGGAAGAUACAUAAUGUACCAAAUAAAUUAAAAUAAAGCAUAACUCCCAAAGAACUAUGAUUUGGUGAUGCCUCAAAAUCUGAAUCUUGGACAAAUCAAACCAUCGUACCCAAAUACUAACCAUACAUAAUUUCCUGUUUAUUAAAAAAAGAGUAUUAGUUAAAGACUGAAAAAAGGGUCACGAGACUCACAUAUUCACAAGCUUUGACAUCAGCCUCCCACCACAAGUACACACAUAUAUAUAGGUAUGCUCCCCUGUAUUCUCCAUUUUCAUCUUCUCUAAUAUCUCCAAGUCACACUUCAACAAGAUGGUGGUAAGGAUGAGAUUGGGUAAGAUUGUGGAAGACUUGAAGGUGAAGAUAAAGACAAGUCUAAGGAUGAGGAAGAGAUCAUCAUUAUCAUCAUCAUCAUCAUCUUCCUCUUCCUCAACUUCAUCAUCAUCAUCCUAUGAGAAGAUAGAGAAGAGUGACAGUAUGAGAUUUGAGUUAAGAAGCAGAAAGGCACAAAAAAUUAUCCAGCAAACUCUUCAAGUUGCCGACUCUCCCACCUCAAGAACUUAUGCUUUCUGAUUUCAUAUUUUUGCCAUCCAAAACAUAUUCAUACAUACAUAUGAAUUUGCGUGUACGCAUCUGUUUAUACAUAUCUAAAAUAUUGUAGGUACGUGUAUGUAUGGGUAAAAGGUUAUAUAUGGAUGAUGUAAUGUGAUGGAUCUCAUCUUGGCUAAUGGAUAAUUAUUAGGUGAGUUCAACAUUAA